UGAGGAAUAUUGGUCAAUGGACGAGAGUCUGAACCAGCCAAGUAGCGUGAAGGAUGACUGCCCUAUGGGUUGUAAACUUCUUUUAUAUGGGAAUAAAGUUUUCCACGUGUGGAAUUUUGUAUGUACCAUAUGAAUAAGGAUCGGCUAACUCCGUGCCAGCAGCCGCGGUAAUACGGAGGAUCCGAGCGUUAUCCGGAUUUAUUGGGUUUAAAGGGAGCGUAGAUGGGUUGUUAAGUCAGUUGUGAAAGUUUGCGGCUCAACCGUAAAAUUGCAAUUGAUACUGGCAGUCUUGAGUACAGUUGAGGUAGGCGGAAUUCGUGGUGUAGCGGUGAAAUGCUUAGAUAUCACGAAGAACUCCGAUUGCGAAGGCAGCUCACUGGACUGCAACUGACACUGAUGCUCGAAAGUGUGGGUAUCAAACAGG
rnacentral:rRNA from 1 species